CAUAGAAGGUGGAUCUUCUAUAUCCAAAAUUACUGGCUAUUUAAUAUUAUCUAUUAGUUAUAUACAUCUCACUUUAUAGUCUACACUUUCACAUCACACUUUGAAGGCACAUUUUGAUUUGUAUUGGUUGGUUGUGUUCUUGCUUUCAGUUGAGGACAAACUGCUACAGGGACUCGGGCUUCUGUCCUCGAGCUCCAGGUGUCUAGAGAAGGAUUUGCACAGGGGGACUCCCUUCUACACCUUAGGUCUGGCCUGGCUGACACCUUUCCCAUCCUAGGCUGUGUGCAGAGUAACAGGAUGCUUUGCCAUGACUUGCUGAGCCAGGCAAGGGGGAUAUUUGCUGCCUGGAAGGCAAAGACAAAAUCAGGUCUGAACAGAGCUCUUGGAUCCUGGAGAAACUGGAUGAGAGAUGUCAUUCCAAACCCACUGACAGAGAAGGAAGAGGAGUAAUAGUACUCACAUGUAAAUGAAGUGAGGCAAACCCUGGAGAAUGCUUCACAACGAGAGGAAAAAUUGAGGCAUUAGGAGUGCUCAGAACAGUGCUUUGUAGUACAGACACCUGAGGGAUGGGAAGAAAAUACUAAACAGUUCUAUAUGAUGACCUCCAAUUUUCUCAAUGAAACAAGAAAACUUUCUCCCUCAUCUCAGUGGAGACAGUGAGAAAGGCCCUGCUUUCCUACCAGCUGGUGCCUCUGUACCAACUGUGAUCAUCUCAGUACUAGCAAUGAGCCUGGCUUACAGGAGCACUUUUUGAAUGAGACAUGAGGAUUGAUGCACAGCAAAGCCUGUGGGUAAUGCUGUGGAGGGAACAUUGCACAGACACAAAUCUGUGGGCUUUGUCUGGCCCACAGCAAUGCAGAGCCAAUUCACCGCUUCACUAAAGGAAUUUUGUUGGAGCACAAAAUUGCUGGUUUAGCAGCAGCAAAAUCAGUAACCACUGUGUCCUCUUCUCCUCUCUAAAAGCUCUUGAAUAAAACAUCAGUGAUUUUACUAAACAUGCCCCAGGACUCCUCUAGACACAUCCCUGUGUGGGGCAGGGAAGCAGAGCCUCCACCAGCCUGGGGCUCAUCACGACGCUCUGCCAAGGCUGCUGGGCAGGAGGAAAUGCCAGCAUAAGAGAUGGAUGCAGGCAGCAGAAUGACUUUCACCUUGCUCUCAGCCCUUUCUGGGAUGAUGUUUGUUUUCUGUUAUUGCCCUUCAGUUGCCCUUUCCGUUGGUUGGCUUGAGGUUAUGGCUGCAGAUUAAUUUGUUUAAUACUGUGUUGUUGGCAGCAGGCAUCUUUUUUCUUAGUAUUCUGCUCUUUGCUAAGCUCCCAUUUGGAGCUCCUCAGCUUUUUAAUUAUUCACAAAAGCUGAACUGAACUCUUUGCAAUUAUUUGGGUUUGGUAGUAUGUUGCAGGAAGGAAGGGGGUUCUGCUUCCUUCUAAGUACAUUUCCUGGUGCUUUCAAGUCUGCACUCAAGUUGGGCCACAUGCUAACACCUGGACUUGGUGCUUCCCAGGAGUGGGCAGUCCCCAGGAGGCAUAUGCCAUCUCACCCUUUUUGCUCAGUGUCCACUUUUUUAUGGGUGCUGCUAUGGGAAGAGUAGUAAAGCUUAGCACUUAAUAGCUUAUUUUCAAUAUGUCAUUCAGCCUUGGAAAUUACAAAUCUUCCUUCCAGAGGUGCAUGUUCUGAUGGCAUGGCAUGCAAAAUACUGAAAAAGAAACCAUGCUCAGUGCCUAAUUCCAAAAAUCAGCUGGGGGCAUGAUCCUUGGCUGGAGGCCAUGACUGGUUUUAGUUUUCCCUCUGCCCAUUCAGUUGGGCACUUUGGCAGACGAGCUUGCAGGCUGGUUACUCAAAUGCCUCCUCUACACCCCUCACAAAAAAUACAAGGAUAGGCUAGAAUAGAAAAAAAAAAAUCUAAUCUUUCCUUUCAAAUGAAAAGCUACAAAUGAAGCUUGUUAUCAAGGGCACUUUUUGACAAACACUUGGAUAAGAGGUCCCAUGUCAAAAUCUCAGUAAAUAGAUACUUUUUAAAAACCUUUUACAAACAAAACUUUCAUACUCAUAAAUCUUUAGAAUCUCUUGUAAAAAUCAUUUCCAAUCAGCUUCCUAAGUAAGGAAAGUCAGUCCUUUUGCUUGAACUUAGAAUACCUGGUCUCUUUCAUUGGUUAUGAAAGGGAAGUGGACAAAGGUCUUGCUGCAAAAAACACAAGUGUCAUUAUAGCAAUGUUUUAGAACAUUCUUUGCAGAAGAACUGUAUUUGCUGUCCCCAGACAAUGUAUUAAAAAAAAAAAAUUCUUAGAGGUGAAGCAGAAAGCCUGGUAUUCUCAGCAGAAAGCACUUGUGUGCUCCCCUCAGAAAACUGAGUCCUAAAAGUAAAUAUUAAACCCACAUUUGUCUCAUCAGAAACAGAUGUAUUUUUGUUGAAGACAUUUGAAGCACUGAGUAUUUUUGUGCCUUGUAAUAUUUUAGUUUAGAGUCCAUAAUGUCAUGAGUAAAAGAUUGCUUCUGCCUACUGCUGCUAUUGGGCAUGUUUUCCCUACUACUGCAGGAUAAUUAAAAAAAAAAAAUUAGUGCUAAGGCUUUGUUGACAGUGAUAGCCCCUUAGCUGCUAAAUCUGCUGUCCCAUCCAUCACUAAUCUCAAGCAAAGCAAGCAUUAGUUUCUCUGUGACUUAUCUAGGUCCUUAGUAGAUCAAUAACACAGCUCAGAUGUUUCAGUCUCUUCCCUGUUAAUUCACAUUUAUCUUUUCAUCCAAAGAAGGUAAAUUACCUCACAGAGAAGCUGUGUUAUCCCCAAUAGUGGUUUAUAAUGUUGCAAAGUCAGCAUGACCCACAUAUCUUAUCUCAGCUGGAAUGCAUUUGUCACUGUCUCAUGUUAUGAUCAUCUGGUAAAAUGCCCUAGAAAAGAGGUAAACCUGCAAAAUGGCUUCACCAUUUUCAUUUAAUGACCUUUCCUGCUAUGUGUUCCUGUAUCACCUUCAACUGAAACUGCUAAAUAAAGGGAACUUAGCUCUUCCCUUUAAUGCUCCAUUCCAUAGUUUUUACCAUUAGCAUUUCUCAGCAGUCUUCCCUUUGCUAUCAGGAGUUCAUCAGUGGGUGCUGGUACUGAGUUUAAGAACUGACUCAUUUAUUAAGAUGCUGUGUUAACCCUGAGAAAGGACUGCUGAGUUUAACUCUACAUUUGUACAGUUGGCUGCUGAUUACCUAAAAGCUUUUCAGGCUCUAGGAGGGUUUAAUGCUCUUAGGAAAAAGAAAUGAGAAUCAGGUCACUGACCUGUAGCUGUAACCAGGCUGCUGCAAGAGGAAAUGCUCUAUGAGUUUGAUAGCAGUUAUGCAGCUGGGACUCAUUCCUUUCUAUACUACAGGAAGGUAGAUAUUUCAUUAUCUGUUAUUUUAAAAACUCCAUCAUGGAAAGAAAACGUAAAUAUAAACCCACUGGAUUUCUAAGAAGUCUGACAUAGCUGGAUGCUAAAACAGUGCAUUUUUCUUCUCCUUCUUUAGAAGAGCAGAGCAACUCUGCCUGGACUGAACUCUGCUCUGCAAGUGUGAAAUUCUUAGGUCUUUAACUAAGAAAUUAAUCAGUGCCAUCCAGCAGCUCUGCUUUUUGACAUGAGGAGAAGGUAGGUCUGUUUUCAGUGCAGGGCUCGAUUUCUUCCCAAAUAACAAGGUGCGAGGGAGGCUCGAUUCCUUCCCUCACACUCCAGGGAGCAGUGACCUGCUGUGACUGCACAGCUGGGAGGAGGAACAGCAAAACCAGGUGCUUCCCUCUCAAGGUGGAAGAGGAGCACCCGACUGAGAUGACCUUGAGGAGGAGGAGAACAGGAUGUGCCAGGAGGGCCUGGCACAGAAACGCUUGGCCAGGCGCAGGUGAGCGGAGAACCAACGGGGAGGUGCAGUCAGAGCCCGGAGGCUGGAGAGCAGCCGUGCCUACAAACUGAAAAAGGGGAGCUCCUGGCUGCAUGUAAAGGGAGGGAACAAAAAAAUUUAGAUUCCCAAGCUUUAGGACAGCAGCCUGCAGCUCCUGGUGGUGCUCUCAAGAGAUGAAACCAGCAGUUGUGUCGAAGUUGAGGGAAACAAUUGUUUUCCAUCUCUUACAUAUUCCAUUUAAUGGAAGAACAAGGCAAGGGCAUAUUGGGUGUUUCUGUGGAGUGUCUGGGUUAUUUUCCCCUCCUUGUUUCC